rnacentral:rRNA from 1 species
UCUGGGACAAGCCCUGGAAACGGGGUCUAAUACCGGAUAACACUCUGCCACGCAUGGCAGUGGGUUAAAAGCUCCGGCGGUGAAGGAUGAGCCCGCGGCCUAUCAGCUUGUUGGUGAGGUAAAGGCUCACCAAGGCGACGACGGGUAGCCGGCCUGAGAGGGCGACCGGCCACACUGGGACUGAGACACGGCCCAGACUCCUACGGGAGGCAGCAGUGGGGAAUAUUGCACAAUGGGCGAAAGCCUGAUGCAGCGACGCCGCGUGAGGGAUGACGGCCUUCGGGUUGUAAACCUCUUUCAGCAGGGAAGAAGCGAAAGUGACGGUACCUGCAGAAGAAGCGCCGGCUAACUACGUGCCAGCAGCCGCGGUAAUACGUAGGGCGCAAGCGUUGUCCGGAAUUAUUGGGCGUAAAGAGCUCGUAGGCGGCCUGUCACGUCGGAUGUGAAAGCCCGGGGCUUAACCCCGGGUCUGCAUUCGAUACGGGCUAACUAGAGUGUGGUAGGGGAGAUCGGAAUUCCUGGUGUAGCGGUGAAAUGCGCAGAUAUCAGGAGGAACACCGGUGGCGAAGGCGGAUCUCUGGGCCAUUACUGACGCUGAGGAGCGAAAGCGUGGGGAGCGAACAGGAUUAGAUACCCUGGUAGUCCACGCCGUAAACGGUGGGAACUAGGUGUUGGCGACAUUCCACGUCGUCGGUGCCGCAGCUAACGCAUUAAGUUCCCCGCCUGG